GAUGAACGCUGGCGGCGUGCUUAACACAUGCAAGUCGAACGGUGAAGCAGGAGCUUGCUCUUGUGGAUCAGUGGCGAACGGGUGAGUAACACGUGAGCAACCUGCCCCUGACUCUGGGAUAAGCGCUGGAAACGGCGUCUAAUACUGGAUAUGUGAUGUGACCGCAUGGUCUGCAUCUGGAAAGAAUUUCGGUUGGGGAUGGGCUCGCGGCCUAUCAGCUUGUUGGUGGGGUAAUGGCUCACCAAGGCGUCGACGGGUAGCCGGCCUGAGAGGGUGACCGGCCACACUGGGACUGAGACACGGCCCAGACUCCUACGGGAGGCAGCAGUGGGGAAUAUUGCACAAUGGGCGGAAGCCUGAUGCAGCAACGCCGCAUGAGGGAUGACGGCCUUCGGGUUGUAAACCUCUUUUAGCAGGGAAGAAGCGAAAGUGACGGUACCUGCAGAAAAAGCACCGGCUAACUACGUGCCAGCCGCCGCGGUAA
rnacentral:rRNA from 1 species